AGGAUUACAGGCAUGAGCCACCACACCUGCAGUUGAUGUAUUUCAUUGUAUGCCAGUGAACAUCUUAUUGAUUUGACCUUUAUAUUAUUAUUACUAUUAUCUUCAAAUAGUUGUACAAGAAUUUCAAUUUCAUAUGUCCAUUUGUAUGUCCAGUGCACCUGGAUCAGAGUCAUUCCUUCCAUGUUUCUCCCUUGCCCUUAUCUGUCCCAUCUCUACCUGUCUCCUCAGGUUUCCUCGGUCCAUUUUCACUUACGUGCAUGGAGUACUAAGACUAUUUGUAAAAACACGAAACAUUUCAUGGAUGUGCAUUGGCAUCCUGACACA